rnacentral:lncRNA from 1 species
UCGAACAAGACCUCACUGACAAAGUACACCGGGCGCUGCACCUUGAGGGCAUGUCCCUCCUCCUCUUGCUCCACCACCAGAGCCGCGCUAACCACCUGGGUGGGUGCUGCGAUGUAGAGCAGGAGGGGCUCCCCGUCGGUGGGCGGGACCAGGAUCGGGGCCUUCGUCAGGAGGUUCUUGAGCUGAUCAAGCGCUUCCUGGGCCUCGGCGGUCCACAUGAAGCGGUCGGUCUUCUUCAGGAGUCA